ACCUGGAUAGCUCACUUGGUUCGAGUGUGGUGCUGAUAACGUCAAGGUUGCAGGUUUGACCCCUGUUUGGGACA